rnacentral:tRNA from 2 species
GGAGAGAUGGCCGAGCGGCUGAAGGCGCACGCUUGGAAAGCGUGUUUACCUUACGGUAACGUGGGUUCGAAUCCCACUCUCUCCGCCA